rnacentral:lncRNA from 1 species
UCUUUUUCUUUCCUCUCAGGUGGGUAUCUUGUACCCCUAAUUCUACUGUCGGACACUUGUCCAUUUUUUACCUCUUGUCUCACUUUUUCUUUUCUUUUGAGGUUCCGGGCACUUGCCCCUUUUUAUUUCCUCGUAUAUAUAUUUUUUAGUGCACUCAUCUCUUGAGAUAAUAUAGCAAGUGGUAGUAACAAGAUAACUUGAGCAUUUAUUUUACAGGGGAAAAAUAGAAAUAUUUUUGGCUAUUCUCUCCCGGAUUAGGAAUAGAAUAUUUUUGAGUGGUUCUGGAGAUGGAAAUGGGUGAAUAUAUGUGGAUGCGUACUUCCGGAGUAGAAGCAGCAUAUGUGAGCGAACGUGCAAGUGAAUCUUGAUUUAACCACAUGACAAGUUCCUAAGGGUCUACACAGCUUGACCACACUCAAUGCACAUAAGCAGUAAAGUAAAUGUGUGGCUCAAAAAUCUAGCAAGCAUGUAUAUAUGGCUGUGGUAGGAAUUUAAACUCUCAUCAUACAGAAACUCAUCAUGCAAUAUUUUAAAGAUUUUUCAAAGAUAAAAUUCUCCAGAAUUCUAGCAUCCCUAGGAACAGAUAAACAGCAGCUCAACCUUCCCAUAUCAUAUCCAUUAACAACUUAUACUUCAGAUCAAGUUUUCUUGCCACAAGUUCAGGUUUAGAGCAAGCUUUAAAUUAUAACAGUUAUGUCUAAACUUGAGAGAGAACUUCAAAUUUGAAAAUUAGGCAAAGCAACUAUUCAUCAUAUCCAUGCUAGAGUUUUAUUAUUAAGAUUCAGAUUAGCAUAGCCACUUUAUUUACUUAUUAAACACACUAAGCAAAAGAUAUAUAUAUAUAUAAGCAUAAAAUCUUUAUUUGGUUUUUCAUAGUAAUGUAUAUUUAUAUUUUAAUAUAGUAUAAGUAUAUAGAUAGAUAGAUAGAAAUACUUAUCGGGAUAAAUGGCUCUCCCCCAAGCUGAAUUUUGACGUAAUUUCUUCUAAUGUAGCUAGCAGGUGGCAGAGGUGUAUUUGAAAGUCAGCAGUAUCCUGACAUCGAUUAGAAUGUCCUCUGUCUCCUAGUCUGCUUGAUUCUUAGAUUCUGUGGAGCUUAAGUAGACAAUAAAGCUUUGUGGAACUGAUUAGGUGUUAGCAUAAAUAUCUAGCCUUUAUCAUGUUGAGCCUCCUUAAUAAAUGUUACUCUCUAUUUUUAUAUUUUCAUUUUAUAAAGCAGAAAAAAUAUUCAUUUUAUUUUUAUGCCACCACAGUGAAUGUACUUAUGGGUUUCAUGCCACUCGUAUAUGUUGACACUUGCUAACACCACUUGAAUACUAGGUUGUCAUCCCCAGCAUGGCACUAGAUUGUACUAUGGUAUUUAUACGCACACAGAUAAUCUGCAAGCGCACGGAUACCGUUAUAGCUUUUACCCGGUUAAAGGUUUUAUCGUAUCCAUAGGGAAACGGGAGAACUGAUCUAUGCUCUAACUUAACCAAGAUAAGUAAAUAGGUUUAAAUAGGAAAGAUGGUAGAAUCGAAUAAGAACAAUAUUAAAGGUAAGAUAACAGUGAGUGAUAAUAUGGGAAUAGAGAAUAGAGCAAUUCUAGUAUAUGGGCGAUGGUAGCAGAAUAGAGAGGAUAACUAUGGUUUCUCUACUUCAAAGGGUAUGUCUAUGUCUGGGACGAACCACGUGAUAAGAGUACACCACAAAGGAUGCUUAUCCUUAGGCCGAUAAACCCUACCCGUCCUGCUAACGAGAGGUGGACUACAGUGGACCAACGUAAUUGUCACCUACGCGGCCUACCACACGAUCUAGCUAGAAGGGCAUAUCCACAAGUAAUCUAGAUCUAAGCACCUUACUUACACCUAUACUACAACUCUCACCAAUAGCGUCCUAUAGAUUAAAGUACUCAAAAGAGUUGUGAACCAGAACAUACAUAAUUAGUAAUUGCAUAAUGAAUUAGAAGUAGAUUACCAGAGACAUCCCAUGAGCAAGCUUGAUUAGAGCUUGAUCAUGACGAAGUACAACCGGAGGAAGAACCGACAGGCCGGCCUCUCCUCUAAUCCUCCUUCGCUCUCCAUCUUGCUACUAUCUAGAUCUACUCUAGUUUAGAUAAGAGAGGAGAGCUCUCAUCUCUAAACCCUAGCUUUUGCUCUGUCUAUGAAUAAUGAAUAAUGAUCAAGGGGUGCCUCCUCCAGGGGCCGCGGGGUCUGGUUAUAUAGUCCCCUCAAGUGAACCUGUGCCGUCGGAUCAAACUGACAUUGAUUGAACGGUUAUUCUUGAUCCUUUAGGUCGGUGGAGAUCUCCCAAGAGAAAGAGUCCUGAUUGGGCUCCAAGUCAGGGCGGGCGCCCAGGGCAGGAGGGCGGGCGCCCUGCCUCUGGCCCUGUUCGGCCUCCGCUUCCUUCCCGUGGCUUCUAGAGUCUUCUAGAUGUAAGAUAAUUGCGCAGCACGUUAAUAUCUCUAUGUAAUCCCGACGUGUGGGCCUUUCUUCCGUAUUUCCUGAUAACCCCCUGCAGAAAUAGACAAACACCAAAACUCGUGGAAUUCUGUCAGAGAAAACCCUAAGUCUAGAUGUUGAUUUCAUUUAGAUCCUUAUCUUUGUUUAUUUGAUAAUUAAAUUUAAUACUUAAGGACCGUCAACAAACUCCCCCAAGCUUACCUCUUGCUCGUCCCUGAGCAAGGAUAGACUCAGCAAUGGAUCAGAAGUUGUUGCAAUAUCUUAAAAAUUUGACGGUACACAUGCUUUUAAAUAAGAUCUCAUCUCUGAGUUAGACUAAACUGUCAAGAACUAAAACUUACUUACUUUACCUUUCACCAUGGGACUUGUAACCAUCACUUCUGUCUUGAGUAGUUAAAAGAUAGAACAGUCUAGCCAAGUGCCAUGUCUCUUAUUCUUGAACAGCUAUAGCUCUGGAGUUUUUGCAGAUUUUCAAAUAAAACUCAGAGAUUCCUUGUAUGACUCUCUAAAUCUCUCUUUUGUGGUAAUUAUGGAUCCUUACCAAGGCAGUGAUGGUAUAUGCCUUCUCUCAAGAUAUGUGGUAUUUGUAGUAUAAGGCAUAGUGACAUUGCCUUCUCUCUUACCCUACUCUAAUAAGGCUUUAAUAUCUGGACCUCAUAGGUGGGAGACAGCUAAUACAUACUUACAAGACAUUUAUUGCAUAGUCAAACCAUGGAUCCAGAGAAACAAGUCAAUAAGUCAAAUCAAGAUGUGCAUGUGUGGCGAAUGAAUGGUGUGUGGUGAUGAUAGUGAUAACAAUGGUGGAAGUCUAAUUCUACUUUUGCUCUUUUGAGGGGAUACAUACCUUCCUUGCUUUUUGAAACUUUAUGAGGAGAAUGAGAUGCUCUAUCUUUCAUUUUUUUCUUUCCUCUCAGGUGGGUAUCCUGUACCCCUAAUUCUACUGUCGGACACUUGUCUAUUUUUACCUCUCGUCUCACUCUUUUUCUUUUCUUUCGAGGUUCCGGGCACUUGCCCCUUUUUAUUUCCUCGUAUAUUUUUUCACUCCUUUUUUUAGAGCACUCAUCUCAUGAGAUAAUAUAGCAAGUGGUAGUAACAAGAUAACUUGAGCAUUUAUUUCACAAGGAAAAACAGAAAUAUUUUUUGUUAUUCUCUCCCGGAUUAGGAGUAGAAUAUUUUUGGGUGGUUCUAGAGAUGGAAAUGAGUGGAUAUAUGUGGAUGGUACUUCCGGAGUAGAAGUAGCAUAUAUGAGUGAAUGUGCAAGUGAAAUCUUGAUUUAACCACAUGACAAGAUCCUAAGGGUCUACACAGCUUGACCACACUCAAUGUUCAUAAGCAGUAAAUAGUAAAUGUGUGGCUCAAAGUCUAGCAAGCAUGUAUAUAUGGUUGUGGUAGGAAUUUAAACUUUCAUCAUACAGGAACUCAUCAUGCAAUAUUUUAAAGAUUUUUCAAAGAUAAAAUUCUCCAGAAUUCUAGCAUCUCUAGGAACAGAUAAACAACAGCUCAACCUUCCCAUAUCAUAUCCGUUAACAACUU